GCCAUAGCUCAGUGGAUAGAGCAUCUGCCUUGCAAGUGGAAGGUCCCAAGUUCAAUCCCCGGUAUCUCCA